UUACUCAAUUGAUGGUUUUUU
rnacentral:piRNA from 1 species